rnacentral:rRNA from 1 species
GACGAACGCUGGCGGCGUGCUUAACACAUGCAAGUCGAACGGAAAGGCCCUGCUUUUGUGGGGUGCUCGAGUGGCGAACGGGUGAGUAACACGUGAGUAACCUGCCCUUGACUUUGGGAUAACUUCAGGAAACUGGGGCUAAUACCGGAUAGGAGCUCCUGCUGCAUGGUGGGGGUUGGAAAGUUUCGGCGGUUGGGGAUGGACUCGCGGCUUAUCAGCUUGUUUGUGGGGUAGUGGCUUACCAAGGCUUUGAAGGGUAGCCGGCCUGAAAGGGUGACCGGGCACAUUGGGCCUGCGAUACGGCGCAGACUGCUACGGGAGGCAGCAGGGGGGAAUAUUGCACAAUGGGCGGAAGCCUGAUGCAGCAACGCCGCGUGCGGGAUGACGGCCUUCGGGUUGUAAACCGAUUUCGCCUGUGACGAAGAGUGAGUGACGGUAAUGGGUAAAGAAGCACCGGCUAACUACGUG